rnacentral:rRNA from 1 species
UGAACGCUGGCGGCGUGCUUAACACAUGCAAGUCGAACGAUGAUCCCAGCUUGCUGGGGGAUUAGUGGCGAACGGGUGAGUAACACGUGAGUAACCUGCCCUUAACUCUGGGAUAAGCCUGGGAAACUGGGUCUAAUACCGGAUAUGACUCCUCAUCGCAUGGUGGGGGGUGGAAAGCUUUUUGUGGUUUUGGAUGGACUCGCGGCCUAUCAGCUUGUUGGUGAGGUAAUGGCUCACCAAGGCGACGACGGGUAGCCGGCCUGAGAGGGUGACCGGCCACACUGGGACUGAGACACGGCCCAGACUCCUACGGGAGGCAGCAGUGGGGAAUAUUGCACAAUGGGCGAAAGCCUGAUGCAGCGACGCCGCGUGAGGGAUGACGGCCUUCGGGUUGUAAACCUCUUUCAGUAGGGAAGAAGCGAAAGUGACGGUACCUGCAGAAGAAGCGCCGGCUAACUACGUGCCAGCAGCCGCGGUAAUACGUAGGGCGCAAGCGUUAUCCGGAAUUAUUGGGCGUAAAGAGCUCGUAGGCGGUUUGUCGCGUCUGCCGUGAAAGUCCGGGGCUCAACUCCGGAUCUGCGGUGGGUACGGGCAGACUAGAGUGAUGUAGGGGAGACUGGAAUUCCUGG